rnacentral:piRNA from 1 species
UCCUAUAUCUGCCUAGUUCCCACAAU